rnacentral:rRNA from 1 species
AGUUCAGAUUGCAGGCUGNAACUCGCCUGCAUGAAGUCGGAAUUGCUAGUAAUCGCAGAUCAGCAUGCUGCGGUGAAUACGUUCCCGGGCCUUGUACACACCGCCCGUCACACCAUGGGAGUCGGUAACACCCGAAGUCGGUAGCCUAACCGUAAGGAGGGCGCCGCCGAAGGUGGGAUUGAUGACUGGGGUGAAGUCGUAACAAGGUAAC